UUAUCAUUCCUAUUCUGCAUUUACCAGUUCUUCUCGUCUGUCAGUAGCUCUGCCCAUCUGUUCGCUGUCUACGUUUUUCCUGGAUUAUUUCAUUUUCACCUGCCUGGAGGAUUGUUUGUUUUACUGUUUUGGAUUUUGGAUGUUAUAUUCCUCUUUUCAGAUUUCAGGCUUUUGUUGGACUACCUUGUUUCCCGUGAAUGCAUCAGUUAAAAUCAUCCUGCCAUGUCCUGACAAUUAUAGAGGGCUGGGGUGAAAGAACACAUGGUUUUAUUUCACGCUGUCUCAUUCUGGACCGGACAGCCUUUUUUCCCCCUGAGGUGAGGCGACUCAUUAACACAGAUACACAACAGAUUGAAAGUGAAACUGCAGUCUUCAUCUGCAAUAUUUUUUCAUACACCCAACUCCAGGAUGAUUCAUAUAAA